GGUUCGUGUUCAGUCAAACAUCCACCACCACCAACAAAAGUCAAAAUGCAAAUUCGAAAUCUUUGCCACUUUUCCCCUCGACGACUUUUCCUAAUCAUAUGCAAAAGUAGGAAUUAAUCAAUGAUUUACAAGAACAAUACGUGUGCACAUGUUGCAGAGUGGGCCGAAUGCCACGGGGCAGGGCGUUGCGGUGUCACUCCCAAUGGAAAACCAGAACCCAACCAGAACCGGCCAGAGCCAAACCCAAUCCCAGUCUGAAUCCGAAUCUGAAUGGCAACUAUACCCGCUUGUUAGAGCUUGGCCACCCACUGCCCAAGGGCCUUGGGUUUUUCGGCAGAGACAGGUCAACGGGAGGGCAGAAAUCUGGGAUCUGGAAUCUGGGAUCCGGGACUCUGGAUUCGGGGGUCCGCAAUAAUUUCAGAGAACCAGAGGAACCAGGGAUGCGGACAUCCAGACCUUCAGACAACCCAAUAGCCACGAACUCAGCCCGGCCUGCUAAUAAUUCAAUUAGUUGCAACCUCUGGUGGUUGCAGCCACCACAUAUCCACAAUCCGCACAGAAGUUUCUCUGCAGCUUGCAGCGGAAUCGAGUCUGCGAUUCGGGUUCGGUUCAAUAAACAAAAUGCCGCCGGCCAAAAAUCGCAGCAGUGCAUAAAUUGUGCCCGAGCUGCAGAAAGUGUAAACUGGUCGACAGAGUAUUGGGUAUUUUUGUGGAAUCGCUGGUGCGCCGCCGAGGUGGUUGAGCCUGGCAUGGGGUCCUCCCAUUUGGGACAAUGUGUUGUGUGUGUGCUUUAUAUAAUUGCUCUCGGCCUAUUAUGCAAUAAAUACAACUGAAUUGGACCGCAGAGAAUCAGCCAAAUGUGCGAAUUAAACGGAUGCAUAAAACUGAAA
rnacentral:sRNA from 1 species